UAUCACAUAAGUAAUCGGGAAUACUAGACAGUAAAUCUACCGGCGAGUGUCGUUAUGAUGGUACUGGUUAAGGUAGGUAACUCCCAAAUAUUCCACAUACAGAAUUUAGCUCCCUUAGGUGUGUGUCUGCUAAGAACUUGAAUCAUUAAUUAGUCGGCGAGCUUGGCAGAAUCGUUAGCGCGCUGGACGAAAUGCUUAUCGGUUCUGAGUUCAAAUUCUGCCGAGGUCGACUUUGCCUUUCAUUCGUUCGGAGUCAAUAAAUUAAGUACCAGUGAAACACUGGGUUAGAUGUAAUCAAUUAGCCUCCCUCCUCCAUAGAUUUCAGUUCUUGUAUCUGAAAUGGAAAGAAAUAUUGGCCCAACUCUUGGGGUAUUUUUUUUAGACCUAUGUCUGGAAAAGAAAAGUGUAUCUUAUAUGCCAUCAAAUCUGAUCAGAUGACUUCAAGAAGAUAAGUAGGGAAGCAAAAGUUGGUUAAAGCUUACCGUGUGGUACUGGAAAAUGGAAAGCACCACCAUGAAUAGGACUUCUGUGACCGAGGAAAUGACCUUGAAUAAGAAAGAA